GACCGUACAAAGGUAGCAUAAUCAAUAGUCUUUUAAAUGGAGGCUGGAAUGAAUGGUUUGACAAGAGUCUAACUGUCUCUCCACUUAGAAUUAAAUUUAACUUGUUAGUAAGAAGGCUAACAUGAUUUUGAGGGACGAUAAGACCCUAUAGAGCUUGAUUUUUGGUUUUCUUUGUAAGAAAGUUACAGAAUUUGGCUGGGGCGGCCGGGAGAAAAAAAAAUCUCUUCUUUUGUUAUUCUCUAGUAUGAGCAAAAAAAAUGAUCCAUUGGUAAUGAUUAAGAGUCUAAGCUACCUUAGGGAUAACAGCGUAAUUUUAUUUGAGAGUUCCUAUCGAUAAUAGAGUUUGCGACCUCGAUGUUGGAUUAGGACUCCCCUUUGUCGCAGGAGAUAAAUGGGAAGGUCUGCGUCGACCUUUAAAUGNCUACA
rnacentral:rRNA from 1 species